rnacentral:ncRNA from 1 species
CCUCAGCAUUAAGAGAGGGCUGACGCCCCGCCAACCUGCAGCUGUGCAAGGUGGUCUCCCGCCAGGGAAAUGUGGCCUUCAAGGCAACAACAGCGUCGGCCUC